rnacentral:lncRNA from 1 species
GGUACAGAGGCUUACAGGCAGCUCGACAACUGUUUAGGACAGAGUAAUGUGGAGAUUUUUAUAUUAUGUGUGUAUAUGUCUCUGUGGGUUUGUGUCUGCGAGUGGAAUGUCUGUGGAGUUCAGAAGAGUGCAUUGGACCCUCUAGAGUUACAAGCAGCUGUGAGCAGCCUGACAUGAUGCUAGGAAUUGAACUUGGCUCCUUUGGAAGAGGAGCGAGUUCUGUGACCACUGAGCCUUCUCUCCAGCCCAGCUUAGCGAUGUAGGCAGGGAAUUGGGUUUGUCUUUAUUGAGUUAGAAGAGUCACGGCUGGAGGCAUACAUGUUGGGAGUUGUCAGCAUAUUCCUGGUAUUGUGGGAUUCGACAGAUAAAGAAGAAAAGGAGACAAAGAACUGGGUCCUAUUUUUUUUUUUUUUUUCUUGUGGGGGGUUGAAGCCAGGGUCUCUCUAUGUAUCUCUGGCUAUCCUGGAACUCACUCCUUAGAUCAGGAUCAACUAAGUGUUGAAGGCACAGGACAGAUAGAGGACAGUCCUCAGAGUAGGCAAUGGUGGCUUGCGAGAGAUGCUUUUCAUUACCCAGUUAAGAGGAUAUUGCCUGACUUGAUACCAAGAAGAAAGAAUAUUUAUCACAGUAAAAAUAAGAUGCAGAUUUCUGUGCAGUUGGCUACAUGGAAAGAUUGUGCUGCCUGCCAUAUACAAGACAACACUACUGGGGACAUUUGGGGCUGGCGCAGUGAUGACGAUUAAGAGCCCUGGCUGCUCUUGCAACAGACUUGGUUUUGGUUCCUAGCUCUCAUAUGGUGGCUCAUAAUCAUCUGUAACUCUAGUUCCAGGAACUCCAGCACCCUCUCUUGGCUUCUGAGGACUUCAGGUGUGCAUGUGGUACACAUAUGUAUAUGCACGUAGGCAAGACAUAUAUGAAUACAAAUAAAACUUCUUGUUUGUUUGGAGACUGGAUGUCACUGUAUAGCAUUGGGAAGCCUAGAACUCACUAUGGAGACCAUCUGGCUAGCCUCAAAUUUAGAAUUCCAGCUGUGCCUGCCUCUGCAGCAAUGGGAUUAAAGGUGUGGGCACCACUCCUGGCAAUAACUAAAUCUUAGAAAGGAAAAACAGACUAGGAAUGAGGUGAUGGUCACCUGUAGGAAGGAGAUGCUUGCUUAUGGAGGGCCUGCUGUCUUUCCCCACCUGCGAUGGUGUGUGGUCCGAGAAUGGCCCAUGAUAGCCAUGUUUCUGGUUUUGAGUGAGUAUUAAGUAUACAGCAAACCAAUAGCAGAUAUAUGCAAGUAGCAAACCCUUAACAAACUGUGUGCUCAGAGCAUCCAGCAGAAAUCAGCUGAAGAAGAGAGCUUCCCGGGUGGGUCAGAGUGGCUGCUCAGAUAAGGCUUUCAAGUAAAGAGACAAAUGUCAGAGAUAGAGAUGACAUCAUCAAAUCAGGCACUCACAGCAUCUGUCGGAAACCGGCUGAAGAAGCUGAGGCAGUCAGCUGGGGUUCCCAGUUGAGCUUUCUUUGCAUGGCUGACCUGGGUUCUCUUUUCUGCUGCAGGACUUUGGUUCAUAGGAUACAUCAUCGGUUCUCAGCACGAGAUCGAAUAUCAGAUAUUUACGUCAUGAUUCAUGACAGUAGCAAAAUUACAUACAGUAGC